rnacentral:rRNA from 1 species
GAUGAACGCUAGCUACAGGCUUAACACAUGCAAGUCGAGGGGAAACGACAUCGAAAGCUUGCUUUUGAUGGGCGUCGACCGGCGCACGGGUGAGUAACGCGUAUCCAACCUGCCCAUCACUUGGGAAUAACCUUGCGAAAGUAAGACUAAUACCCAAUGACAUCCCACGAAGACAUCUGAAUGGGAUUAAAGAUUUAUCGGUGAUGGAUGGGGAUGCGUCUGAUUAGCUUGUUGGCGGGGUAACGGCCCACCAAGGCAACGAUCAGUAGGGGUUCUGAGAGGAAGGUCCCCCACACUGGAACUGAGACACGGUCCAAACUCCUACGGGAGGCAGCAGUGAGGAAUAUUGGUCAAUGGGCGAGAGCCUGAACCAGCCAAGUAGCGUGCAGGAUGACGGCCCUAUGGGUUGUAAACUGCUUUUAUAAGGGAAUAAAGUGGGUCUCGUGAGACUUUUUGCAUGUACCUUAUGAAUAAGGACCGGCUAAUUCCGUG